CCCGAUUCUAAUGUCCUCCCAGACCUCUUUUUACCAGAUAUAUCAUGCAGGAAGUGACAAGAGGAGCCAUUACGGCAUCCCUUAGGUUUGUUAUAGAAAACACAAGGUGUCAAGCUGCACAGAAUUGGUUUUUGUUUCUUUAACAAACAUGCUCCCGUGUAGUACCAUGAAGAUUUGUAUUUUGUAAGCUUUCAUCAACCACAGACUCAUUUUUUCUCCAUGUUGAUUGAUUAGGGAAUUGCAGUAAUUGAUAAUAUCGUUGUGACUAGUCAUCGAGGUUGUAUGGCCAACAUUUGGUGAAAGAGACAGCUUAGGCUGCAAGCUGGUUGGACCAUAUCUGGAAACCAACUCAGAAACAACCAAGGGCUUUCCUUCUGCAUUAUCAAGUACUCCAUAUUUGCUAAUCAAUUUCUUAAUAUCUUUUCCUGAUCAAGCUCUGAAGUGGAAUAGGCUAUUGACUUGCUCUCUCUAAUCUUUGCAGUUUCAACCCGAGAACGGUCCCUUGUUCAUUAACCGAAUCACUUUUCAUAGUCAUUGUCAAGGGCACAGAUUUUGCCAUUGUCUUUGGCCCAAAACUUUCUCCAGAACCUGCAUGGGGAGCUUGACCUUCAUUAAUGGGCUUGUUAAUUACCUUAUUCGAUUUUGUCGAGGGCAAGGAACCAGUAGAUCCACUGGCCUAGACAUGACAGCAUUGAGAGAAACAACAGUUGCCACUUUGGUAGCCAUGCCAUAUUCCUUCAUCUGCUUUGGUACUUCUUAUAGGUUGAGGAGAAGCCUAACCAAUAUGUUGGCAUCAAUCAGACUACCUUGCUCUUGACUUUUUGCAAGAGCAGCUGUGGCUAUAGAAACUGUCAAAUCAUGUGUGGAUUCUACUAUAGGAAUUGUUUUGACUACUGGAGUUUUGCUAUCAUCAUAACCUUGUUCCAGAUAUACCUGUGAAUUAUGAGAUCAGGAAAAAGAGGUGCAGGCCCCAGAGUUGAGAAGCGAAACUGAACUUCCUUCCCCACAGCCAUAGAAACUUAGUGGAUAGAGCAUUGUCAGGAGAGAGAUUUGAUCUUCACAGAAUAUUAUGUGGGGAAGUGCUUCUGAAAAGCAUGAUCCCGAGUCCGAAUUCCCCUUUGUCAGAUCAAAAAUUCAAGUCGGUCAAUCGAUGGCUCUCUUGCUCAUUGCAGAGUCGGCGUAAACUGGAUAUCCAGAAACUCUAUGCAAUCCCUUUCAUCUAACAUUUUACCUACAGAGGACUAUUUCCUGGUAAAGAAAUUCAGAGCUUCAGAUAGAUCCUAACAGUUAUAGCUUGCAUAUCAAGCUUCAUUUAUGCGAUCGGGGAGAGGUUGCUACAUGAGAGAAGGAAACCAUUUAUGCGAAGCCCUAUGCGCAGAAGUCUGACCCCUGAUGGAUCAUCCUUUGAUAGUGAUGAAGAUAUUAAGUUUGAAAAAUGUCUCCUGGUUUUGAGAAACUUCUCCAACUCAGAUCAAGGUAUUGCACGGGGACCGGGAGGCAUGAUAGUUGUGACACGUGCAAGUUGCCCUGAACAUCACCCUCGGAAUUUUAUUUUAUUUUAUUUUUUGCAGAGAGAGACAAGGCAAGUGAGGUUUGGUUGAUUUGCAUCAUAAUUUCAGAUUCCUGCUGAUUUGGUAGGAUCAGUUUGUUCAGGUUUUUCUACUCUUUUUGCCUUUUGGCGAUGUAGUUUCUAGUUUCACGUUCUGAUUUAAUCGGCUUUUGAGGAAUUCUAACUGCUUAGGAGGUUGAUGACCAACUUACAAAAAAAUUAUCAUGAAUUCUCAUAGUAUUUGUUGAUGAAGUCCUAAUCAAAUUCGCCCAACGAAUGGGAAUCACACCCCGAUUAUUCAAUGUGGUUUUGAUCGAUCGAUUCGACGGAGAACUUUAGGAGUUCUUCAUUUUGCUUUUAGGUGCUAUGUCGUGGACUCUUUGUUGACAUUAAGAAGGGAAGAGCAUAAAUUCAAUAUGUUCCGUUAAACGAUAGCCUCUUCCAAUAUUUGCCUUUUCUCUUUUUCUUUGAUCCUUUUUUCGAUGUUGACAGUAGUUAAGUCAUCUUUCUCCCUCAAGAAUUGGAGCUUGAGGUGCUGCUGCCGCAUUCCAACAAUUACAGUAUCAAUUUUCUUCAGAAUCUUUGCAUUCAUAAUCUAGAUCAGAAGUACUCUUGAACUUGUUGCUUAUAACUCAAAUAUCUGAUUUCAAUAGUAGGUUACAUGGAUAUAGAAGCCAACCAACUGAAGAAAAUUAAAAGUGUGGCUGUGUUUGUUUGUAAAACAUCACUUACAGUAGUAUUACUUUGGUUAUGGUAUGGAGUACCAGAUAGGCUUUGCAGCUUUGUGGAGGCCUCAUCUUUUCCAGUAUAACAGUAACUCUUUGAGGGAUUCAGGAUGCACAAUUUCACUCCUAGUAUAUUCAUCUGUUCAUUCCAAUUGCCUAUAACUCUUCUAAAUAUGCUUACAAAUUCAUAUUCUAUAGUUCCUUGACUUCAAAUAUGUUCUCUUUGAAGCAUUAUUCGAGAUCAAUAAUCUCACUUGUUGAGUUUAUCUUUAUUUCUUCUUCAGGUUGUAAGUGUGCCUGAAGAACACAGAAACAUCCACGUGGCAAUACUAUUCAGUUUAGUGCUUUUUAGAAUCAAUUGGAUUAAGGUGGGAGUUUAAUACAAAUCUCUACGGAGGAACGAAUGUUUGACCAAGGAAAAUCAGAUGUCAGGCGCUGACCUGUUCAACAACAAGAAACAGAACGUCUUCAGCUAGACUACACUUAUGUUGGGAGGGGGAGGUCAAGUGAUGAUCUCACUGCAUAUGGACUCAUAUCUAAACUUUCGAGGCGGUUUCCAGUUUUAGUGAGUUUAUCUUCACUGGAUGAGGAUCAUCUUGUUCAGGAUUGCAGAAUGAUGAUGGAAGGGCAAGUAUCGAUAUUGUGGCUUUGGAUAGCUUUGGAAACCUGCUUCAUGCCCAUGGAGCCCCAAUUCAAUUUGUUGGGGAAGUCAUGACUGCUGAAGCGAUUGCUAUUAGGAAAGCUCUUGAAUAUGCUAUCACUAAGGGAUGGAAGAGAGUGAAGAUUUUAUCAGAUGCUAAAAAUGUUGUUUAUAUGAUUCAGAAAUAAGACUUCACGGGAGAUAGAAGUGUUGUAUGAAGACAUUUGGAAGCUUUCAAGCAUGUUCAUUUAUGUAGAAUUUAUAUAUAUUUCUAGAUUUGUGAACAAAAUAGCGGAUAGGUUAGCUAGAUACUCUAUCUCUUUGUUGAAGGAAAUCCUUGGGAGAAGCUUUUCCCAAGUUGGAUCA